UACGAAGGGGGCUAGCGUUGCUCGGAAUUACUGGGCGUAAAGGGCGCGUAGGCGGAUACUUAAGUCGGGGGUGAAAGCCCAGGGCUCAACCCUGGAAUAGCCUUCGAUACUGGGUAUCUUGAGUUCGGGAGAGGUGAGUGGAACUCCGAGUGUAGAGGUGAAAUUCGUAGAUAUUCGGAGGAACACCAGUGGCGAAGGCGGCUCACUGGUCCGGUACUGACGCUGAGGUGCGAAAGCGUGGGGAGCAAACAGG
rnacentral:rRNA from 1 species